CACACCGAAUCCACUGAACAGAGCUCUUUGGCUUUUGGAAUAGCAAAAAAGGAACUGUACAUGGAUAUUUCCAAGCUGGAACCGAGGCACUUUCUAGACGAAGGCAGCCUUAUCCCCAGGAGAAGAUUUAAAAUGUAAAAACUAUUCUGAGCCUGCAGGCCAUAGCCAAAGAGGUACCAGCUGUAUUUUGUCCAUGGGCGGUAGCUUGUGAUUCUUGGUCUAGGUCUUUCCAGGUCAACCAGGGGCCUGUCCCAGAGUGAGACCCACUGGUGACUCCCCAGAGUGGGACCAAGUGAAAGCACUUGGCUGGAUCAGAGGGAUAUGAGCCUGGCUGCUCCUAAAACAAGACACUCCUUGCCUUUGAUGUUCAAGUCAUUUAAGAAGGCAAUUGCUUCCUACUCAAUUUUUCAAAACCAAAAUAGCAAAUACGAUAUGAGCCAUAA
rnacentral:antisense_RNA from 1 species